UUAUAUCUAAUUUUUGAUAAUCAUCAUCAUAAUUUUAUAAUUAAAUACCAAAACUAUAAUAUUUUACAUAAUAUAUAAAAUAAAUCAAUAAUUCAUUUCGCUAAAUCUUUAUAAAUUGUCUAAUUAGUGCCUAUCGAUUUCUAGAACAUUGUUUUAUAUGCAUGUGUAUGGAUGUACUUUUAAUUUAUUUAGUGUAUCGGAAGUUUAAUUACUUGCAUGAGUUUAAUAAAAUAAUAACCGUCAAGGGCCACGUCCUCUACAUCAUAAUCGUGAUGAAACCCCACUUUCUCCUACAAACACUCAAGAGUUCCAUCUCUGAAGCUUGUGAGUUACAUACGAACAGAGAAACAAACCAUGUUUGGUUUUCUGUUUGGAUGGCGAAAGGCCUCAAAGUGCAAGAGAGCGUUGAAGCAGCUUCAGCGUCGUCUAAACCUUCUCAAAAACAAGAAACACGUCAUUUCUUCACACUUACGGCACGACAUAGUCCAGUUACUCCGCAUUGGUGAACGAGACCGUGCUCUUCGUCGGGCUCAUGAUCUCUUCCUUGAUGAGAGUCUCUUGUCACUUUACCACUUGCUUCUCCAGUUCUCUGAUGUCAUCCUCCUCAACCUCUCUUACAUUCGGAGGCAUAGAGAAGUUUCUGAUGGCGUCAGCGAAGCGGUUUCGACGCUUAUAUUUGCCUCUGCGAGGUGUGGCGACUUGCCUGAGCUACGGACCUUGAGGGCACUUCUUGGGGAGAGGUAUGGGAAACUCUUUGUCUCAACGGCUCUAUAUCUUCUGCCUGGUAAUCGUGUCAACUCUCAGAUUAUAGAGAAACUCUCAAGAAUCUCAGUAUCUGAUGACGCCAAGUCCAAGUUGUUGUCUGAGAUAGCAGCGGAGUUUAGCCUACAAGUUUUGGCACUCGAAUACACUACUGAAUCUCACAAAGAGGUGAGUCUUUGAAUUUUCUAUGCAUCUUAAUGUUGUGGGAGUUGAGAGUAUAUAAUCUCGUACUUGCUUGGUGUGUGUGUGUGUGUGUGUGUGUGUGUGUGUCUGUAGGCUGAAAGCGAAGCAGAAGUGUGUAAGUUCACUCUCACAGACGCGGACUUAGAGGUAAAACAAGAAGAGAGUCUUAGUAAACCAUCAAGGGAACAAAUAAAAGUUUGUGAUGACGAGGAUUGCAUAGAGGAGCAAGUGGUGGGAAAAGAUCAGAGGAUAUUCAGAUUCAUAGAGUCUAAAGAAGAGACAAGAGCUAGAAAGAGGUCAAGGAGGAGAUCAGCAAGAAGCAGUCCAAUGCCCAAAGACGUGGAAUGUUGGAGGUACUACAACAUGGGAAAUAGAAGGCGUCAAAAGAAAGAGAGUGGUCAGUGUUUCCAUAUAGUGUACAACGUGUUUACAAUGCGGCCUGAUCAAAAGGUAAAAGGAGAAGGAGAAAGAGGUUUAAAGGAAGCUAAGCAUGUUCAUCCUAAGCUUCCAGACUACGAUCAGCUUGCUGCUCACUUCACUGCCCUUAGGAAUCAACACCAACAACAAGUGCCUUGACCUUAACUCAUUGUUCUUUGUUUUGCUCUCUUACAAACAAAAAGUAUGAUCAUUCUUUUGGUAAGGUUGAUGCAAAUGAUUUUACAAUUUUUGAUCUAAUGCUAAGCUUAUGACGUCUAUGCAUAUUUUUACAUCCAGUUCAACUCCGUGUUUCAAAAAGAUUCGAUAUUAGACUAAAAAACUCUAAAACACACAUUUUGACUUAAUAAAAUAUUUAGAAUAUUGGUUAGAAAUCAGUAAAAAC